rnacentral:lncRNA from 1 species
AGAGGUCUGGAAGGGCAUGAGAACCAUUACUGGUUUCAAGGAGAAGGGAUGUGUAGCUCCUGGUGAUGUGGACAUGGCGGACGAGUUCAACCGUUUUUACAACCGGUUUGACUCUGUACAAACGCACACACACACUAACGGAUGUCCACCCGGCGGCCACUCCACCUCGGCUGCUGUGACCUGCUCCUCUUCUCCACCUGGGAGCGGCUCCACCUCUGCUGCUGUGACCUGCUCCUCCUCACCACCCAGCAGCUGCUCCACCUCUGCGGCUGUGACCUGCUCCUCUCCUCCACCCAGCGGCUGCUCCACCUCUGCUGCUGUGACCUGCUCCUCCUCACCACCCAGCGGCUGCUCCACCUCUGCGGCUGUGACCUGCUCCUCCUCACCAUCCAGCGGCUGCUCCACCUCUGCUGCUGUGACCUGCUCCUCCUCACCAUCCAGCGGCUGCUCCACCUCUGCUGCUGUGACCUGCUCCUCCUCACCACCCAGCGGCUGCUCCACCUCUGCUGCUGUGACCUGCUCCUCCUCACCACCCAGCGGCUGCUCCACCUCUGCUGCUGUGACCUGCUCCUCCUCACCAUCCAGCGGCUGCUCCACCUCUGCGGCUGCGACCUGCUCCUCUUCACCACCCAGCGGCUGCUCCACCUCUGCUGCUGUGACCUGCUCCUCUUCACCACCCAGCGGCUGCUCCACCUCUGCUGCUGUGACCUGCUCCUCUCCUCCACCCAGCGGCUGCUCCACCUCUGCUGCUGUGACCUGCUCCUCCUCACCAUCCAGCGGCUGCUCCACCUCUGCUGACGCGCCGGCCUUCACUGUGGAGGAGGUACGUGUGGAGCUGAGGAGGCUCCAUGGACGGAAAGCUGCAGGGCCUGAUGGGAUAUCACCACGGCUGCUGAAGGAGUGUGCGUCAGAGCUGGCUGUGCCUCUCCAAACCAUCUUCAAUCGGAGUCUUCAGACUGGACGUGUCCCUGCGUUGUGGAAGACCUCAUGCCUUGUCCCAGUGCCCAAGGUGGCAAGGCCUGCAGGGAUGAAGGACUACAGACCAGUGGCCCUAACAUCCGUGGUGAUGAAGACUUUUGAGAGGCUGCUGCUCCGGCUGCUCAAACCUCAAGUGGAGGGGGGGCUGGACCCCCUUCAGUUCGCCUAUCAGGACAGCAUGGGAGUGGACGAUGCAGUCUUGUUUAUGGUCCAUCAGGCGCUCUCCUUUCUGGAGGGAGCUGGAGGCUAUGUGAGGUUGAUGUUUUUCGACUUUACAAGCGCCUUUGAUACC